rnacentral:rRNA from 1 species
UUGGAAAUCAUUCAUAGAGUGUAAAGGCAUAAGGGAGCUUGACUGCGAGACCUACAAGUCGAGCAGGGUCGAAAGACGGACUUAGUGAUCCGGUGGUUCCGCAUGGAAGGGCCAUCGCUCAACGGAUAAAAGCUACCCCGGGGAUAACAGGCUUAUCUCCCCCAAGAGUUCACAUCGACGGGGAGGUUUGGCACCUCGAUGUCGGCUCAUCGCAUCCUGGGGCUGUAGUCGGUCCCAAGGGUUGGGCUGUUCGCCCAUUAAAGCGGUACGCGAGCUGGGUUCAGAACGUCGUGAGACAGUUCGGUCCCUAUCCGUCGUGGGCGUAGGAAAUUUGAGAGGAGCUGUCCUUAGUACGAGAGGACCGGGAUGGACAUACCUCUGGUGUACCAGUUGUCGUGCCAACGGCAUAGCUGGGUAGCUAUGUGUGGACGGGAUAAGUGCUGAAAGCAUCUAAGCAUGAAGCCCCCCUCAAGAUGAGAUUUCCCAACUUCGGUUAUAAGAUCCCUCAAAGAUGAUGAGGUUAAUAGGUUCGAGGUGGAAGCAUGGUGACAUGUGGAGCUGACGAAUACUAAUCGAUCGAAGACUUAAUCAA